GGUUCAUUCAAAUUUCUUCCCUAUCAACUUUCGAUGGUAAGGUAUUGGCUUACCAUGGUUUCAACGGGUAACGGGGAAUUAGGGUUCGAUUCCGGAGAGGGAGCCUGAGAAACGGCUACCACAUCCAAGGAAGGCAGCAGGCGCGCAAAAUUACCAAUCCCGACCGGGGAGGUAGUGACAAUAAAUACUGAUACAGGGCUCUUUUGGGUCUUGUAAUCGGAAUGAGUACAAUUUAAAUUCCUUAACGAGGAACAAUUGGAGGGCAAGUCUGGUGCCAGCAGCCGCGGUAAUUCCAGCUCCAAUAGCGUAUAUUAAAGUUGUUGCAGUUAAAAAGCUCGUAGUUG
rnacentral:rRNA from 1 species